CCCUUAGAUGUUCUGGGCCGCACGCGCGCUACACUGAACAGUUCAACAAGUCUUAACCUCGGCCGAUAGGUCUGGGUAAUCUUUGAACGCUGUUCGUGAUUGGGAUAGACCUUUGCAAUUAUGGGUCUUCAACGAGGAAUUCCUAGUAAACGCAAGUCAUCAGCUUGCAUUGAUUACGUCCCUGCCCUUUGUACACACCGCCCGUCGCACCUACCGAUUGAAUGGUCCGGUGAAAUCUCGGGACGGCGGCUUGGUCGCUUGCGUCCGACUGCUGAAACUUGAUUAAACCAUAUCAUUUAGAGGAAGGUGAAGUCGUAACA
rnacentral:rRNA from 1 species